UAGAAUAGUAUGCCUGAAAAAAGGGUUAAUUUGAUAGAUUAAAUAAUGAAAAUUUUAAUU
rnacentral:tRNA from 1 species